CCCUUAGAUGUUCUGGGCUGCACGCGUGCUACACUGAUAUUGCCAAUAUGUCAUUCUUAUCCGAAAUGGAUUGGGUAAUCAAGUAAUGAAAUUUCAUGCUUGGAAUCGGUAAUUGCAAUUUUAUCGUGAACGAGGAAUUCCUAGUAAGCACUAGUCAUCAGCUAAUGUUGAUUACGUCCCUGCCCUUUGUACACACCGCCCGUCGCUCCUACCGAUUGAAUGUUCCGGUGAGCUCUUCGGACUGCGCGGUCUGCAGUUUCUGCGUUCCGUGCGGAAAGUUGCGCAAACCUUAACAUUUAGAGGAAGGAGAAGUCGUAACA
rnacentral:rRNA from 1 species